CGGCCAAAGAGGAGUUCUGCCAGCGCAACAAGGAGGCGUCGGAGCAGCGGUGCCGCACGGUGCUGCAGGAGCUGUGGAGGGACGUGGAGCUCCGCCUGCAGCGUGGGGACUACGUGGCACGUGGUGGUGCUCAGCUGUUCAAGGAUGACCUGCACCGCGUGCUGGAGGAGUACAAGCAGCGGCCUGACAAGGGUGUCAGGGCGGAGACGGUGCUGAAGGAGUUCCUGCGGGAGCACGAGGGGCUGGCACAGGUGCUGAAGGCCACUGAGGUGCAGCUGGAGCUGGCAGAGCGGCAGCAGGAGGCGGCAGCAGCCGAGG
rnacentral:lncRNA from 1 species